GAUGAACGCUAGCUAUAGGCUUAACACAUGCAAGUCGAGGGGAAACGGCAUUUUGUGCUUGCACAUUUUGGACGUCGACCGGCGCACGGGUGAGUAUCGCGUAUCCAACCUGCCCUUUACUUGGGGAUACCCCGUUGAAAGACGGCCUAAUACCCGAUGUAAUUCAUUGAUGGCAUCAGAUAUGAAUAAAAGAUUUAUCGGUAAAGGAUGGGGAUGCGUCUGAUUAGCUUGUUGGUGAGGUAACGGCUCACCAAGGCGACGAUCAGUAGGGGUUCUGAGAGGAAGGUCCCCCACAUUGGAACUGAGACACGGUCCAAACUCCUACGGGAGGCAGCAGUGAGGAAUAUUGGUCAAUGGGCGCAAGCCUGAACCAGCCAAGUAGCGUGCAGGAAGACGGCCCUAUGGGUUGUAAACUGCUUUUAUACGAGAAUAAUUUGAUGCACGUGUGCGUUAUUGCAUGUAUCGUAUGAAUAAGGACCGGCUAAUUCCGUG
rnacentral:rRNA from 1 species